rnacentral:rRNA from 1 species
AUUGAACGCUGGCGGAAGGCCUAACACAUGCAAGUCGAGCGAAGGACGGGAGGGUGAGUAAUGUAUGGGGACUGCCCGAUAGAGGGGGAUAAAUACUGGAAAAGGUUGCUAAUAACGCAUACUAUAGGAGAACACAUAGGGAAGUAGCUAGUAGGUGAGGUAAUGGCUCCCCUAGGAGCCGAUCCCUAGCUGGUCUGAGAGGAUGAUCAGCCACACUGGGAAUGAGACACGGCCCAGACUCCUACGGAGGCAGCAGUGGGGAAUAUUGCACAAUGUGCGCAAGCCUGAGGCAGCCAUGCCGCGUGUAUGAAGAAGGCCCUAGGGUUGUAAAGUACUUUCAGUCGGGAGGCGUUACCGACAGAAGAAGCACCGGCUAACUCCGUGCCAGCCGCCGCGGUAAUUC